UGGGGAAUAUUGGACAAUGGGCGAAAGCCUGAUCCAGCAAUGCCGCGUGAGUGAUGAAGGCCUUCGGGUUGUAAAGCUCUUUUACCAGGGAUGAUAAUGACAGUACCUGGAGAAUAAGCUCCGGCUAACUCCGUG
rnacentral:rRNA from 1 species